UCCGGUUUGGCACCGGCAGUCCCCCUAGAGUCCCCGGCUUGGCCCGUGAGGGCCGCUCCGCUGGUAACUAGGGGCGGGGGUUGCGCUCGUUGCGGGACUUAACCCAACAUCUCACGACACGAGCUGACGACAGCCAUGCAGCACCUGUGCACGGACUCCGAAGAGGGGCCCCCGUCUCUGGGGGCGUUCCCGUGCAUGUCAAGCCCAGGUAAGGUUCUUCGCGUUGCGUCGAAUUAAACCACAUGCUCCACCGCUUGUGCGGGCCCCCGUCAAUUCCUUUGAGUUUCAGCCUUGCGGCCGUCCUCCCCAGGCGGGGCACUUAAUGCGUUAGCUGCGACACCGAACCCGUCUAUAGGCCCGGCAUCUAGUGCCCAUCGUUUACGGCGUGGACUAC
rnacentral:misc_RNA from 1 species